CAUUAUGCAAGGGCAUGACCUACCCAGUAUCCCUACAUCUCAGUUCCUUUACCUCCUGAUUCCUGAUUAUCUCCAUUCCUCCACAGCCACCCUUGGUUACACCCUGCACUUGCUACCGCCAAACAUUCAUCACCUCACAAAUCACAGUUUCAAACAUCCCAUUUCUUAUUCAUGAUCUCACCCCUCCAGCUUUCUCGCUUGGCCUUAUUGAGCUUUUAGAUCCAUGGAUCCUUGCGCCUUGGUUUUUUGGGGUGUUUUGUUUUGUUUUUGUUUGUACUUUUGCCCUCCCUUCCCCCAUACCAGCUUAGAUUCCUGGGCUCAUCAUUAUAAUUACCCUGUUGCAAAUAUGCUAGGUUUACUCAACCUCUUCUUUCAUAGAAUCUACUUAUAGGCCCCCAGUCCUGGAUGAACUUCACCAUCCAUCUCCCCUGUGUCGAUGCCUGAGCAACUGAGUAUUGUCACAAAAGUCAAAAAACCAAUUCAGAUGGUCCUCAGUUGUAUAUUUUGUUGGAUUUCAAGGAGGAAGAGGUGAAAAGUUCUAUACUGACCUCUCACAGGUGAGGAUGUGGCUGAGCCAAUGACUGAAGAUAUCUGAAGGAAGAUACUAACCAGAUGAACAGGUAUCUCUGAAGCGUCUCAGUGGGAGCAAGAAAAAUGGCCACAGCAAGGUUGGCUGAAGGGGUGGAGAGACUGAACACUGUCAGGCUUAAGGGCUGUCAAACAGUGUACUUGGAACAAAGUGCAAAGUGAGUGAGGAGACUUCUCUACCGAACCCUACUUAACUGGUGCCUGUAAAUACUUGGACUAAAACGGACACAUUCUAAGGCAUGAAGAAACUUUAGCCACUAUUAGUUUGUAGGUACAUAAGAGAUUCAGCUCACAGGUCAAGAAAGUGUUUCACCAUAUGAUGUCUUUUGUAUGGUAAGCUAUUUAAAGUAUAGAAUACAAGCAAUACAAUUAUAAGGAAAAUUUUCUGACUUUUAUUAUAGCAUUUUGCCCCAUGCUCUUCGACAUAUUUAUACACUUUUUAAUGUUGUCAUUUCAUAUAAAAAUUUUGUUAUGCCGCCAAGCAGAUUAGGAGCGCCUUGAGGGAAGGGAUUCUAUCCUAUGCAACCAAUGUGGAAUUCUGGGUGUUUGGUAAGUGCUCAUCAAAUACUUCAUGGAACAUUGAAUAUUGUGGACCUUGUACUUCAUGCUUCUAACUCCAGGUCCAAGAUAGGGCUGGCUUCUGUGGAAAGUACCACCCCUGUACCUUAUGUCAGACUAUGACAAAAUAUCCCUGGGAAGCCCCCAGAAGUUUGUCUGGUUGCUUUCUGUUGUUGCCAUCACUUGAGUGACAUGUGGGUCUCCAGAGAGAGAGUUUGCCUUCUCCUUUUCUCACAGAGCAACAUGCUCACUGUUGGCUGAAGGAUACGUAUGUUUUAUGGAGGGCAGAUUAAGUUACACAUAGGCAUUGUCUUCACUACUCACAGCACCAGGCACUGCUUUGGGACAACAAGCAGUCUCCUGACUGCCACCACGGGUGGGGUCCUUCGUAGCUCAAAGCUUUGACUCCCAACCUGUCCUAAUAAUCUGUCUUGCUUGUGCCAUUUGGUGUUGAGAUCCCUGAUUUCUGAAGGCAUAAAGUAACUUUUGCCCAGGAUUUGACUUUCUCUCCUUCUAACCACUAGAGCCCACACCAGCCAAUCUCCUGAAGCGCUAUUGUGUCAGGCUUGAAAUGGAGGCUCAAUAUUAUUUGCUGCUUCAGCAUGUUAUAAAGUCCAGAGGCUCCCCGGUGGCCUAACUGCAAGUUCCCAUCCCUUGUCUCUUCAUGCGGAUGUCUCUUAGCCAAACAGCCCUCCUCAUCAUGGGGACCAGGCACACCACCUGUUUAUCAUUCAUCGUGUGUAGGAUUCAGUUCCCUGUCAGCCCACAGAAUUACUCAAACAAGCCAAUCACAUCCUUCUUGGGAGCCAGGGGGCACCUCACUGUCUUGAUACUACAAAGUUUGCUUCCCACAGCCCCCACUUGUUCACCCUGACCUCAAGUGCAACCCUCAUGUGACUCUGUGUGGCAUGGAGUGUCCUCCUCCCCCAAGCUAAGUAUAUAUGACCAAUAAACUGCUGUUGAUCUCGUC